CCGCUUCCUAGAGCCCCCUCGGUCACCCCGCCGUGGACUGCUGGGGUUGCAGAUUUGGUGGCUGUCACUGCUUCGCCUCGUUCUAUUUUUCCCCUCAAUUCCCUUCUAAAAGUAGAGGCUUGGGGGAGGGAAAAAAACCAGUGUAGAAAGGGGCGGUACGAACUGACCUGUCAACGGCGGAGGAGGAAGACCCCCGGUCGGGGCGAACUCUCGAGCCCGCGCGGGGACCGGAGCCCUGGGUUCGCGCGGAGCGGUGCGGCGGCAGCCGUGCCUCAGCCAGGUGUUCCCCCCUCGGCGGGGCCCGCGCUACCGCGCCCGCCCCCUCCCCUGGCGCGGCGCUCCCCGCCCCGUCGCCAGGGACCAGGGAACCCCCCAGCUCGAUUUUUUGUGCAGUUUCAGCAAAGCUCCGAGGAAGUUGGUCCUUUUGUUCCACUAUUUAUAGAUUGCGUCAACAUUGCGAAAAGGAGAAGGCGGAGCGGUGGCCCCUCCCCCUCCCUCCGCCGGCUCCUGGGAGAGAAAAGCCCCAGCACACGACCUAAGUACACAGCGAGCCAGCCGCCCGCCCGCCCCCGGCCUCCUGCUUGCCGCUUCCCCCUCCUCCUAGCCCGGGCCAGCGCGCUGCCAACCCCGUCACGUGCCCGCUCGGGAAAACCAGCUCCCCGGGGCUCCGCGCCGCCCGCCAGGCUCCGUGGCGGCUGCGGCCGCCUCGCUCAGCUGUGCGCCCAGCUCGUGGGUUCCGGCUGUAGCCCGAGCGUCGCGCACAGCGUGGGCACCCACAUCUUAGCCACCCGGUGGAGACCCCUGGUCCGCGGGUCGAGGGUGUGCUCACAAACGUUCGGCGCUUCCGCCCUCCACCUCCCCCACCCCUCCGCUUCGGGAGCGCCACCGCCCUGGCCGCGAAGUGUGCGCGCGUUCGGGCCUCGCCUCGGGGCCAGGAGCCUGACUUGUCCCCCGCGCGGUGGCUUCCCCAGGCAUUGGGAUGCCUCCUGGCCCCGCACGAUUGGAUGA
rnacentral:lncRNA from 1 species